AUUGAACGCUGGCGGCAGGCCUAACACAUGCAAGUCGGGCGGUAGAGAGAAGCUUGCUUCUCUUGAGAGCGGCGGACGGGUGAGUAAUGCCUAGGAAUCUGCCUGGUAGUGGGGGAUAACGUUCGGAAACGGACGCUAAUACCGCAUACGUCCUACGGGAGAAAGCAGGGGACCUUCGGGCCUUGCGCUAUCAGAUGAGCCUAGGUCGGAUUAGCUAGUUGGUGAGGUAAUGGCUCACCAAGGCGACGAUCCGUAACUGGUCUGAGAGGAUGAUCAGUCACACUGGAACUGAGACACGGUCCAGACUCCUACGGGAGGCAGCAGUGGGGAAUAUUUGACUAUGGGCGAAAGCCUGAUCCAGCCAUGCCGCGUGUGUGAGGAAGGUCUUCGGAUUGUAAAGCACUUUAAGUUGGGAGGAAGGGUUGUAGAUUAAUACCCUGCAAUUUUGACGUUACCGACAGAAAUAAGAACCGGGUGCUUUCUGUGUCAGCUCCCGCGGUAAUUAUGGGGCGCGGGCGUUAAUAUCGUUUUAACGGGCGGAAAGCGCUCGUAGGUGGUUCUUGGUUGGGUUGGCACUCCCCCCCUCUA
rnacentral:rRNA from 1 species